GAUGAACGCUGGCGGCGUGCUUAACACAUGCAAGUCGAACGGAAAGGCUCCUGCUUGCAGGGGUACUCGAGUGGCGAACGGGUGAGUAACACGUGGGUGAUCUGCCCUGCACUUCGGGAUAAGCCUGGGAAACUGGGUCUAAUACCGGAUAGGACGAUGGUUUGGAUGCCAUUGUGGAAAGUUUUUUCGGUGUGGGAUGAGCUCGCGGCCUAUCAGCUUGUUGGUGGGGUAAUGGCCUACCAAGGCGUCGACGGGUAGCCGGCCUGAGAGGGUGUACGGCCACAUUGGGACUGAGAUACGACCCAGAGUCCUACGGGGGGCAGCAGUGGGGAAUAUUGCACAAUGGGCGCAAGCCUGAUGCAGCGACGCCGCGUGGGGGAUGACGGCCUUCGGGUUGUAAACUCCUUUCGCUGGGGACGAAGCGCAAGUGACGGUACCUGGAGAAGAAGCACCGGCUAACUACGUG
rnacentral:rRNA from 1 species